rnacentral:lncRNA from 1 species
ACAAACAUUUGUUAAGUUCCGUGGGGUGUUUGGCUGUGCUUCGGCCCUUGGAGUUCGAAACUUCUGAGCUCCCCGCCGUCGUACCUGUGCCGGCCAAGGGGCGGGGCAGGCUUUCCGGCUGUCGGGGCCCUCCAGUCCCUCAGGAAGCCGUCCUGGGACGCCUAGCGGACACCAUUUUACGUCGCUGUGGUAGCUGAGUGAACAGCCGGGGGGAGCCCCGCCCCCCGCGCGCGGGAGAGCGCCGCCCGCGGUCACCUGGGCCCGCGGGGCAGAGAGUUCACGGUUCCUGCAGCCUCGGGUCAUGCUGACGCCCCCGGGCGGUGCUAACACGUAACACGCGGGACCUCGAGAGCUAAGAAGCAGGGCGACUAAGACGCAGCCCUCGCCCAGGAGCCCGUCUCUCCCGCGAGCUACCCGUUCCCGCCCAAGUACUCCGGGUAACCGAGGGGAGUGACCGUCGCUCCCCGCCUCGUGGCCCGCGGGCGGAGCCGGAACUGUCGGGACACCGCGGACGUGUCUUUGGGCGGCAUGUUUUAUGUUGCGAAUCUGUGUGGAUUUUUAAAUUCUGUAUUCCCCUAAAAUAGCAGUGUUUUUAAUAUGUAAUGCUUCUACCCUGAAAAUCACCAAGCGAAAUUUAGGCUCCAUGCAGAUAUGUCACUUGUUUUUCCCCCUCGCUGAGGUCACCACAGCCUUUAGACUGUCUGCAGCCCUCCCAGGUUCGCGCCGGGGCGGAGGUUAUGAGGAUUCUUGUAUUGAUCCGGUCCUCAACCCUAUUUCCCAAGAUCCAAUCUAUAGUAGAGGGUGUGAGGUGUUUUUAAACGUGACAUUUUUCAAGGUAACAAUAAUAUCCCAAAAGCUGAAACCUAAACUUAAAAACUGUGUUAAGAUUAGGGACUGUAACCUAAAUUUAGCCUUGGCUGAGCCAUCCUUCUUUUUGUAAAUAAUCGUGAGGAAUGUGAAGCUGGAGGCCUUCUAUCUCUUGAUUAGAUCAAAGAAACUCGAAGGAAGAAGCUCAAUUGUAAAGCAUAAAAAUCCACAAUAUUGUAAUGUGUAGACAUCUUCAUUGUAUUAAAAUGGGAAAUAAAACUUCAUAAGGCAUAAAAUAA